UAAUAUUGUUUGUAAACUUAUAUUAGAAUGAGCCUACUGGUUCGAGUGGUAAGGAGUUAGCUUGCUGGAGAUCUUGUGUUUGAAUCUCUAUGCGAGUGUGGGUGUUAAUUUUUUUUCCGGACAUCUGUUAGAGGUUCGGUGGAGUUGGGAGUCUGAAGUAGUUGUAUAUGGUUGGUAGGGAGGAUAUUAUGGGAUAUGGUUGUUAAUGGGGAGUGGAGAUGUUAAUCAAAAUCAAAUUGAUUAUCUUUUUAUUUUAUUUUAUUUUAUUUUUUUCAAAAUUUUUCUCUCUCUUCCCAAAAGUCUGACGUUAGUUUUCUCUUUUUUCUACCACAUUCUUCUUCCUCUUCUUUUUCCUGCAAUUCUGUCUAUAAUCUACUGUCG
rnacentral:lncRNA from 1 species